UACGUAGGGUGCGAGCGUUGUCCGGAAUUAUUGGGCGUAAAGAGCUUGUAGGCGGUCUGUCGCGUCUGCUGUGAAAAUCCGGGGCUCAACCCCGGACUUGCAGUGGGUACGGGCAGACUAGAGUGUGGUAGGGGAGACUGGAAUUCCUGGUGUAGCGGUGAAAUGCGCAGAUAUCAGGAGGAACACCGAUGGCGAAGGCAGGUCUCUGGGCCACUACUGACGCUGAGGUGCGAAAGCGUGGGGAGCAAACAGG
rnacentral:rRNA from 1 species